rnacentral:rRNA from 1 species
CAACAGGGAUUCCCCUAGUAACGGCGAGUGAAGCGGGAACAGCUCAAAUUUGAAAUCUGGCCCUCGGGUCCGAGUUGUAAUUUGUAGAGGAUGCUUUUGGUGCGGUGCCUUCCGAGUUCCCUGGAACGGGACGCCUUAGAGGGUGAGAGCCCCGUACGGUUGGACGCCUAGCCUCUGUAAAGCUCCUUCGACGAGUCGAGUAGUUUGGGAAUGCUGCUCUAAAUGGGAGGUAUAUUUCUUCUAAAGCUAAAUACUGGCCAGAGACCGAUAGCGCACAAGUAGAGUGAUCGAAAGAUGAAAAGCACUUUGAAAAGAGGGUUAAAUAGCACGUGAAAUUGUUGAAAGGGAAGCGUUUAUCACCAGACUUUUUCUGGGGGGAUCAUCCGGUGUUCUCACCGGUGCACUUCCCCCAGUUGAGGCCAGCAUCGGUUUUCGGAGGGGGAUAAAAGCUUCGGGAAUGUGACUCCCUCGGGAGUGUUAUAGCCCGUUGCAUAAUACCCUUCUGGGGACCGAGGUUCGCGCAUCUGCAAGGAUGCUGGCAUAAUGGUGAUCAACGA